rnacentral:rRNA from 1 species
GACAGAGGGUGCAAACGUUGCUCGGAAUCACUGGGCGUAAAGGGCGCGUAGGCGGGGAUGUAAGUCGGGCGUGAAAUCCCCGGGCUUAACCUGGGGAAUGGCAUUUGGGACUGCAAGGCUCGAGUGCGGCAGAGGAGACUGGAAUUCCUGGUGUAGCGGUGAAAUGCGCAGAUAUCAGGAGGAACACCGAUGGCGAAGGCAGGUCUCUGGGCCACUACUGACGCUGAGAAGCGAAAGCAUGGGGAGCGAACAGG